CCACAGUGUAAUACAAAACAGGCAACUCAACUUGUUGCACUCCGAUCAUUUAAAACCAACAAAAAAGUAAAUCCAAAAGUUGAGUAACUAGGAAGGAAAAUAUAUAAGAAAUCUCGAAUUAAAACAAGACGGUACGAUUUAAAUGCAUUCACUGUUAGUUUUACAAUGCAUAGGUAGGGGAGACCGGGGCAACAUGAAGUUCGGGGCAGGACGGGAAAUAAGCUUGUGUCCAUGAAUGGUAAUCGUGUUCGUACCGGUAACGGCGCCAUUUGCACGAAAUUCAGACUGCGCAAGUGCGUCCGAGCAGAGCGAACGUGUUGGAUCUCGUUUUUGCGUUGUAUAGGAAAAAAACUGAUUUUGCAAGUGUUUUAUCCAGUUUUUGGUUAAGAAACUGAUGUGCAGACAUAUACAAUGGUUCGGAACUAUAAACAAAAACAGAUCGUGGCAAAUGGGACCCUGAAGUUCUGGGUCUUAUGGGUUCUUAAUAACAAGAUGGGGCUUCCUCGAGCCUCUGCUACAUAUGAUGUUCCGCCGCCGUGUAAGAAAAGCUCGUGAUACUGUGGAUGACGACACUGAUUCCGGUAACGACUAAGUAUGGGAAAAAGCAUUUGUGACGAUUCAAAACAUUACAGCAAAACAAGUAGAUGAGUUGGCGCAAUGUGUGAAAUCUAUGGAAGCACGGUUAACAGGAAAAUAACUUCGUGUAAUAAGCUUAUCAGUUGGCUCAGCGAAAUCAUACAGAUAACCCACUUAAUGAAGAAACUGGCAUGGCAGGAGAAGAUUGGCCCAGAACCGACAUCAGCCGCAAGAGCUAUGCAUAGCAUAGCCAUAGAACGUAUGUCCCACCCAUGUACAUAUAUAUACGCUCGGAAGCAGAUGCGAGAUGAACUUUUGGAUGAACGGAAGCGGAUGAAGACUGAUGGACAGAAGACUUAAAAAGAUAAAAAACGAAUACAUAAAGUUGGAAAUAAGAAAAUAAAAAGGACUGAAAACGAGCGUCAAGCUAAAAGACUCGCCAAAGAAAUCGAAUCGGAAGAGGAGGACGGUGACUGGGCCUGCGUCUAUUGUGGUUACUUAUACUAAGAGUCAACCGAGGGUUGGGCUAUCUGCAGUAUUUGCCAUGGUUGGGCACACGAUUCCUGUGCCGGAGUAGAUGAAGAAGACGACGAGGCACACAUUUGUGAACGCUGUCUGCCCGAUUAAAAUACGUACUCCUUUUGCCCCGUAGCAUUUCCCAUCUUACCCCGUCCAUGGGGCAAGACGGGAAAUUCGCCUCAUUAUCGUUAAUCAUUAUUUGUCAAAAAAGUUCUGUGAUUUUGCAUGAUAAAAUUAUUAAUUUUAAGAGACAAAUGUAUAAGUGUUACUUGUUUUCUUAAAGAAUUUAAUUAAAGAGUAUAAUUGUCUUUGUA